rnacentral:rRNA from 1 species
ACGUAGGGUGCGAGCGUUAAUCGGAAUUACUGGGCGUAAAGCGUGCGCAGGCGGUUGUGUAAGUCAGAUGUGAAAUCCCCGGGCUCAACCUGGGAACUGCAUUUGAGACUGCACGGCUAGAGUGUGGCAGAGGGGGGUAGAAUUCCACGUGUAGCAGUGAAAUGCGUAGAGAUGUGGAGGAAUACCGAUGGCGAAGGCAGCCCCCUGGGCCCUUACUGACGCUCAUGCACGAAAGCGUGGGGAGCAAACAG